rnacentral:rRNA from 1 species
CGAGUGAGCGGCAAAGCUCAAAUUUGAAAUCUGGCACCUUCGGUGUCCGAGUUGUAAUUUGAAGAUUGUAACCUUGGGGUUGGCUCUUGUCUAUGUUUCUUGGAACAGGACGUCACAGAGGGUGAGAAUCCCGUGCGAUGAGAUGCCCAAUCCUAUGUAAGGUGCUUUCGAAGAGUCGAGUUGUUUGGGAAUGCAGCUCUAAGUGGGUGGUAAAUUCCAUCUAAAGCUAAAUAUUGGCGAGAGACCGAUAGCGAACAAGUACAGUGAUGGAAAGAUGAAAAGAACUUUGAAAAGAGAGUGAAAAAGUACGUGAAAUUGUUGAAAGGGAAGGGUUUGAGAUCAGACUCGAUAUUUUGUGAGCCUUGCCUUCGUGGCGGGGUGACCCGCAGCUUAUCGGGCCAGCAUCGGUUUGGGCGGUAGGAUAAUGGCGUAGGAAUGUGACUUUGCUUCGGUGAAGUGUUAUAGCCUGCGUUGAUGCUGCCUGCCUAGACCGAGGACUGCGAUUUUAUCAAGGAUGCUGGCAUAAUGAUCCCAAACCGCCCGUCUUGA